rnacentral:lncRNA from 1 species
GGCAUAGCAGCCAGAUAAGUUUCUCCAGAGUCAAGCCGGGAAUCAAGCAAGUGCAAUUGUGAAAGUAUGGUUGAAGUCUACACUGCGGCUUGCAACACAGGUUGUUCAACAGGAUGGGACGAAGAACAGGAUAGGUUGGUCUACCUCGCAAAUUGUGAAUACAAAGCGGAUGCAUUCGUCACAAGCACCCUCGUGGACAUGUGGAAGCAUCAGAAGUGUUCAGGAGGACAAAUAAACAUGACGUUGGUUGCCUGGAACACGAUCAUCAUGGGACAGCACGUCUUCUAUCAGAUGCAACGAGAAGCUGGCCUGCCUCCAAACACUGAGACUUUGCAUGGAGUAGCAAAACAUCGUUUCCUGGGAUAUGCUGAGAACAACAUUUGCUCUUGAGUGCUAUGAGCAAGCCAGCAGCCAAACGCUCAGACUUUCAUGGUGGCGCUCAAGGCACACAGCGACUUAGCAGAGAAGAGGCUCCACUCACAGAUCUGGGAGAGAAAUCUGGAUGGAAUCCACUACUCAGCAUGCUUGCUCAAUGAGAGAAAAGCUUUUCUUGGGAGGUUGGUAAACUUUGCAAGGAAUGCAAGGUUGAUGGAGCCGUCCAUGAAAUUCAAACAAAGGUGGUACCUGAAAAGACGCAAAAGGGUCUUAGCUGGCACACCAUGGUGAAGGAUAAAAAAUAUGAGAGACAAUACUUAGUAUCAUUCAUUGAGUAUUUUAAUUGAUCAAUGGUUAUAAACAUAUUUAUAAUUUAUGAGUCAA